AGAGUUUGAUCCUGGCUCAGGAUGAACGCUGGCGGCAUGCCUAAUACAUGCAAGUCGAACGAGGGUCCUUCGGGACUCGAGUGGCGAACGGGUGAGUAACACGUAGGGAACCUGCCCGUGCGACCGGGAGAACUUUCGGAAACGGAAGCUGAUACCGGAUAGGGACAGAGACGGCAUCGACUCUGUGUUAAAGGAGCUGCAAGGCUCCGCGCACGGAUGGACCUGCGGUGCAUUAGCUGGUUGGUGAGGUAACGGCCCACCAAGGCGACGAUGCAUAGCCGGCCUGAGAGGGCGGACGGCCACACUGGGACUGCGACACGGCCCAGACUCCUACGGGAGGCAGCAGUAGGGAAUUUUCGUCAAUGGGCGCAAGCCUGAACGAGCAAUGCCGCGUGAACGAGGAAGGUCUUCGGAUCGUAAAGUUCUGUUGAAGGGGAAAAAGAGCGGAGAGAGGAAAUGAACUCCGAUUGAUAUUACCCUUCGAGGAAGUCACGGCUAACUACGUGCCAGCAGCCGCGGUAAUACGUAGGUGGCGAGCGUUAUCCGGAAUGAUUGGGCGUAAAGGGUGCGUAGGCGGCCUGCUAAGUCUGGAGUGAAAGGUACCGGCUCAACCGGUAUAGGUUCUGGAAACUGGCGGGCUAGAGAGCAGGAGAGGGCGGUGGAACUCCAUGUGUAGCGGUAAAAUGCGUAGAUAUAUGGAAGAACACCAGUGGCGAAGGCGGCCGCCUGGCCUGUUACUGACGCUGAGGCACGAAAGCGUGGGGAGCAAAUAGGAUUAGAUACCCUAGUAGUCCACGCCGUAAACGAUGAGGACCAAGUGUUGGGGAAGACCCAGUGCUGCGGUUAACGCAGUGAGUCCUCCGCCUGGGGAGUAUGCACGCAAGUGUGAAACUCAAAGGAAUUGACGGGGGCCCGCACAAGCGGUGGAGUAUGUGGUUUAAUUCGAAGCAACGCGAAGAACCUUACCAGGGCUUGACAUCCUACUAACGAACCAGAGAUGGAUUAGGUGCCCUUCGGGGAAAGUAGAGACAGGUGGUGCAUGGUUGUCGUCAGCUCGUGUCGUGAGAUGUUGGGUUAAGUCCCGCAACGAGCGCAACCCCUAUUGUUAGUUGCUACGCAAGAGCACUCUAGCGAGACUGCCGUUGACAAAACGGAGGAAGGUGGGGACGACGUCAAAUCAUCAUGCCCCUUACGUCCUGGGCCACACACGUACUACAAUGGCGGCCAACAAAGAGAGGCAAGACCGCGAGGUGGAGCAAAUCUCAAAAAGCCGUCCCAGUUCGGAUCGCAGGUUGCAACCCGCCUGCGUGAAGUUGGAAUCGCUAGUAAUCGCGGAUCAGCAUGCCGCGGUGAAUACGUUCCCGGGCCUUGCACUCACCGCCCGUCAA
rnacentral:rRNA from 1 species